rnacentral:lncRNA from 1 species
AGCAGAGAGCGAAUAGGGGAAGAAGAUGCCCUUCCUGGGCCUGCUGCGUUUUAAAUUAUAAAAGUCAUGCUACCUUACUCAUUCAUGAAUUCAUCUGACAUUUCUUGAGGGCUUAUGAAGCUAAAUAAAAUUGGUUUCUGCACUCAUGAAGUCUUUGUCGCCCAGGCUGGAGUGGCGCGAUCUCGGCUCACUGCAACCUCCACCUCUUGAGUUCAAGUGAUUCUCAUGCCUCAGUCUCCCGAGUAGCUGGGAUUAUAGGUGUGCGCCACCACGCCUGCUAAUUUUUGUAUUUUUAGAGAACACUGCACUUUCCCUGUUUUACUAAGGAGCACGCUGAGGCCAGAGAGGUUGAGCAGCUUGCCCAAGGUCAUACAACUCCAACAUAUGCCGUGCCGCCUUGUAACACAUCUUUAAGCCCAGUUAAAUCUCUUUCCCCUGAUUCUGGUCCCCCAAGGUGACUUGGUUUUUUCUUGAUUUGGGAACAAAUAACACUUUUACUCGUAGAGUAACUUGGACAGAAUUUAUUUUUAUGCAGUAUUGUUUUCCUCUCAAUAACUGCAUUUAUUUUCGUGUAUUGGAGGAUUAUACCACAUUCUUCAGUAGAAUUUUAAAAUUCUUUUCAUAAGGGUUCUUCCCACUCCAUAAGUUUAUUUUCAAUACAGUACUUUAUCCUGGUUUGCUUUUGUAAAUGAGAUUUCCCCCCGUUUUAUUCACUGAGUGGUCAUCAUAUAUAGUUAGCAUUAUUAUUAUUUUAUUAUUUUUGAGAUGGAGUCUUGCCCUGUGGCCCAGGCUGGAGUCCAGUGGCGCAAUCUCGACUCACUGCAACCUCCAUCUCCUGGGUUCAAGCAAUUCUCCAGCCUCUGCCUCCAGAGUAGCUAGGAUUACAGGCACGCACAACCACAACUGGCUAAUUUUUUUUGCAUUUUUAGUAGAGAUGGGG